rnacentral:rRNA from 1 species
UGGGGAAUAUUGGACAAUGGGCGAAAGCCUGAUCCAGCCAUGCCGCGUGUGUGAAGAAGUUCUUCGGAUUGUAAAGCACUUUAAGUUGGGAGGAAGGGCAGUAAGCGAAUACCUUGCUGUUUUGACGUUACCGACAGAAUAAGCACCGGCUAACUCUGUGCCAGCAGCCGCGGUAAUACAGAGGGUGCAAGCGUUAAUCGGAAUUACUGGGCGUAAAGCGCGCGUAGGUGGUUCGUUAAGUUGAAUGUGAAAGCCCCGGGCUCAACCUGGGAACUGCAUCCAAAACUGGCGAGCUAGAGUAGGGCAGAGGGUGGUGGAAUUUCCUGUGUAGCGGUGAAAUGAGUAGAUAUAGGAAGGAACACCAGUGGCGAAGGCGACCACCUGGGCUCAUACUGACACUGAGGUGCGAAAGCGUGGGGAGCAAACAGG